rnacentral:rRNA from 1 species
CAUGCAAGUCGAGCGGCAGCGGGAAAGUAGCUUGCUACUUUUGCCGGCGAGCGGCGGACGGGUGAGUAAUGCCUGGGAAAUUGCCCAGUCGAGGGGGAUAACAGUUGGAAACGACUGCUAAUACCGCAUACGCCCUACGGGGGAAAGCAGGGGACCUUCGGGCCUUGCGCGAUUGGAUAUGCCCAGGUGGGAUUAGCUAGUUGGUGAGGUAAUGGCUCACCAAGGCGACGAUCCCUAGCUGGUCUGAGAGGAUGAUCAGCCACACUGGAACUGAGACACGGUCCAGACUCCUACGGGAGGCAGCAGUGGGGAAUAUUGCACAAUGGGGGAAACCCUGAUGCAGCCAUGCCGCGUGUGUGAAGAAGGCCUUCGGGUUGUAAAGCACUUUCAGCGAGGAGGAAAGGUUGAUGCCUAAUACGUAUCAACUGUGACG